rnacentral:lncRNA from 10 species
CCGGCCAUCCCUGCCCUGUAACAGGAGAGCGUUUUGGAGUCAAAUUAGGAUUUCUAGUCCCAGACUCAACUUAUUACAACUAACUACUGCUCGUGGGGAGUAGGUGAGGUGAAGAAAUGAAGUUUUAAGAACAGAAAAAUAAGAGUUGAACUUUCGAGGCUACCGGUAAACAACCCCUUCAUUUUUAAAUGGCCGGGUGGCAGAGCCGCUGUUUGAAGUCUUUCCAGCGGGACCUCUGUGACCCUUGAUUCAGGACUUAAUGUAUUGAUCCUGCAUCUGAACACCCCCAGAGGCAUUUACCAGGAAGUUGAGUGACACGCACACGCUACGCCGUGUGUAAUGCACACGCACCUGGGACCCCCGAAGGGGUGUCCCCAUUUCAGUCCAGAUGGGGCGCAGUGCCCAGGUACCCGCCGGCGGGACCCGCAUCCCGAGCACGUCUGUACGUAUGGAUGCGCGUGUGCGCGCGGAAACGGCCUCCGGGAGCCGGGGCUGCAGCAGCCUUAGACCUUGACGAGGGGCGACCACUGGCCGCUGGAACCGUGAUUCAGUGCUAUUAGGGGAGGAAUUGGCUGUGUCUGAGUCACUGCAAGCCUCCAGACUGUCCCCUCAGUGUGGCAGAACUUUGUGCUGAUGAGACAAUAGUGGAGUGUGCGUUUCCUACAGGGCAGACCAUUUC